CUGGUUGAUCCUGCCGGACCUGACUGCUAUCGGAUUGAUACUAAGCCAUGCGAGUCAUUGUAGCAAUACAAGGCAUACGGCUCAGUAACGCGUAGUCAACCUACCUUAUGGACGGGGAUAACCUCGGGAAACUGAGAAUAAUACCCGAUAGAACAUGAUUCCUGGAAUGGUUUAUGUUUCAAAUAAUUUAUUGCCGUAGGAUGGGACUGCGGCCUAUCAGUUUGUUGGUGAGGUAAUGGCCCACCAAGACUAUUACAGGUACGGGCUCUGAGAGGAGUAGCCCGGAGAUGGGUACUGAGACACGGACCCAGGCCCUAUGGGGCGCAGCAGGCGAGAAAACUUUGCAAUGUGCGAAAGCACGACAAGGUUAAUCCGAGUGGUUUCUGCUAAAGGAACCUUUUGACAGUCCUAGAAACACUGUUGAAUAAGGGGUGGGCAAGUUCUGGUGUCAGCCGCCGCGGUAAAACCAGCACCUCAAGUGGUCAGGAUGAUUAUUGGGCCUAAAGCAUCCGUAGCCUGCUUUGUAAGUUUUCGGUUAAAUCCAUACGCUCAACGUAUGGGCUGCCGGGAAUACUGCAAAGCUAGGGAGUGGGAGAGGUAGACGGUACUCGGUAGGAAGGGGUAAAAUCCUUUGAUCUAUUGAUGACCACCUGUGGCGAAGGCGGUCUACCAGAACACGUCCGACGGUGAGGGAUGAAAGCUGGGGGAGCAAACCGGAUUAGAUACCCGGGUAGUCCCAGCUGUAAACUAUGCAAACUCGGUGAUGCAUUGGCUUGAUGCCAAUGCAGUGCCGCAGGGAAGCCGUUAAGUUUGCCGCCUGGGAAGUACGUACGCAAGUAUGAAACUUAAAGGAAUUGGCGGGGGAGCACCACAAGGGGUGAAGCCUGCGGUUCAAUUGGAUUCAACGCCGG
rnacentral:rRNA from 1 species